UUAAGCAAAUAAUUAGCAAAUGGGUCCACCCGAAAAAACCUUAGAAACCCACCAGUACGCACAAAACAAAACACACUUUACCCAUGCCCGCAUUAUCCAAUUUCGGGCAUCUCGCUGCCUUAAGUUUCUUCAUUUUGUUCUUGGAAUCAUUGUUCGGUAACUAGCCUCUCCUUUUCAAAUUUGAAUUUCAAAUUCAACGUCUUAAUUUCAAUAUUUCCAGAAGACUAGCAGUAUCUUCUGCUCUCUCUCUCUCUCUCAAAAAUACUUCCACUUGAUAUAAUUUCCUGGGAGCAGAUAAGGGCGACGACGAUGAUGAUGGAAAUGAUUAGUAUUACUUGGACGAUGAGCUCGCGCCGUGGAAUGUGAGCGAUAAGGUCGGGAGGCAGAGGAUGAGGAAGUUGGGGAAGAGGGCGUUUCCAUAGAUGCACAACUCCAAGAGGUCUCCUUAUCUGUUUGUGACGCCUGGUUGUGUGCGUGGAAAGCAUGGUCUGGGUUUGACUUGGCUUAGUUUAUCUGGUUGCUGUGUAAUUCACUUGUUAUCUUUCAUUGUCGAUGAAGAUCAUUAACUUUUAAUGGAAAACUUGAUUGGUUAUUAAAAAAAAAAAAAAAAAAAAGCACGGCCAGUCUGUAAAUACUGAAGGUUGAACGAAGAGCUCAGUAGAGAGGAAAUCAAUUCCUAGAAGUCCAAGAGAAGAUACAGAACAUCUCAAACGAGAUCUACGGAUCCACAGGGUAUACUUAUUUCAUCCAUGUUGGUUGUAGAUGAACGUGAUUUGUCUUUGAGAAAGCUUGAGGAGUUGCACAGAGAGCUGCAUGAACUUCUGAAGCAAUGGUUGAUGCGAUGGCUUCAAAAAUCCUGGCAUGGGAAGGAAAGAGGCAUUGAGUUCACAUAUGAUGGUGAUGAGAACCGAUCGAUACAAUGCUGGAAGAGGUGCGCAUCUUACUCUCAAGCGUGCUGAGAAAGCUUGCUCUUUGGUUAAUAAACUUCCAGGUAUACUCUGAUCAUAUAGCUUGUCAGCCUUAAUCUUGAAUUCGCAUUUAUGUGAGUUCAUUAAUUAGAAUUAUUUUAUUAGUAUCUAUAGGAUUAACUAAUUUGGCUGGUUUUCAUUGAAGUUAUGAUUCUUUAGUUUAUGAGUUUGCUCAAGAAGAAGCCAAAUAUAUUAUAUUAUAUAUAUAUAUCAUAAUAGUUAUAAUCUUUCUACUUUAUUAUUUCUGUUGAUUGCUUCCUUUUUGUGCCCACCUAUUGCUGUUGUUUCUUUACUUACUAGUUGCCAUUCCCCCGCAUACUUUUUGCUGGUAACUCAAAAUUUCUGUCCACGUGGUUUGUGUACGGCAAUGGUUGAUGCGUUGGCUUCAAAAAGAGGGAAAGGGGCAUUUAGUUGACAUAUGAAGGUCUAAGUACGCUCCCUAUUCUUCAAGGUGCUGGGUGUUUAAAUAGUUGGUCUUACUUGAUAACUUUUUUUUUUCCUUUUAAGAAAGAGAUGAAGAUCACCUGCCCAUGAGUGAUCCCCUUCCAAUUUUAUUAAAAAAAACCCUAACUUAUGGCGGAGGAAUACCGUGGUAACAAAAACAUCCCAAUUUCAAAUGCAAGACCUAGCCCCACAAACAUUAGCAUCUAUUGUAGGGGAAACCCCAACUAUCCAAACGUAAAAGACCUCUAAGUCUUCCUGUACCAAAAUAUUCUCCAAAAAAAUUUAGAGACCCACUAUUAGCACCAAGUUUAGCUAAAAAAUCAGCGACCAUAUUUGCUUUUCUAAACACCACUUUAAAGUGAACAUUAAGCUCCCUAAAUAGACAUUGAGCUUCCUCUCAAAAGUCCCAAAGGUUCCAAUAAUUACAAACACUUGCUAGAAACCAUCCCACUAUAACACUAGAAUCUGACUCUAUCACGAAGUUCCUCAACCCAAGUUGCUUGCAUAUUCGAAGGUCAUCAAUAACGGCUCGACUUUCCGCAAUAGUAUUCGUGGCUUGACCAUAGCAAUGAGCAAACCCACCCAAGACGCAACAAGUAUCAUCUCUAACAAUGAGCAAACCCACCCAAGACCAUAGCAAUGGCUAGACCAUAUUCGAAGGCCAUCAAUAACGGCUCGACUUAUCACAAGAAUCUCUAUCAACAUUAAGUUUCACCAUCCCAUUCUCCGGUAACUCCCACGCAUUAUAUCUAGGUGUUCUACUCUCCAAAGCCACCAUAGGACAAUUUAAAUUUGCUAAUAUCGAAGCAUCAUGGGGGCCUAAUCUUUUGAACUUCCUCACCAUGCCCGAAGAUUCUAAAAUAAAACCUUUUACCAUUCCAAUAACAUUCUUCCAAUCAAAAUUCAGCCCCUCCAUACGAGCUGCACAACGAGAUCUCAAAAGUGCCCAAGAAAUAAAGAUAGGAAUAACACCACGUAACCAACGUACUUGGAAAGAAUUCGAAGCAUGGCUCCACCAGGUAUUCAUCAACCCACCCCAAACCCAAAUAGAAGGCAAAUUUAUUUAUUCCAAAAAUAGCUGCAAAAUAAUUCCAAAGCUUCCUUGGAACCUCCCCCUCACAAAGAAUAUGAUCCACAAAUUCAGCUUGGGAAGAUAGACAACAAUGAAACUUCGAAACCAAUGGUAUACCAAGUUUCUUAAUUACCUCAUCCACCGGGAGAGCACUACGACGAGCACGCCAACGUAAGAAAGACAUCUUUUUAGGAACUGAAGCUUGCCAUAACCAUUUCUUCCAAGGACAGAUAGAACCAUGAGCUCUAACAAUAUUCCAAGCUGAUUUAGUAUUAAAUUUACCAUCUAUAGAAUGUAUCCAUACCAAAAAAUCAGGUCCCUCGUGAAUACGAACUUGUGAUAUUAAAAUCCUAUUCACAGUUUCCUCAUCGACCAGCUAUAUUAACAUCGAAACAUUACAAUCCGCCCCUUUGAAUAUAUCUCAGACCUGUGUUUCUCCAUCUCUCGCCACCAUUUUCCGAUUAGCAAUAACACCAUCACCGAGCCAAUUAUCAAACCAAAAACUGGAAGAGCCCUUGUGAACCAACCAUCUUGAGUUAAUUAACACCAAAGGUAGAGCCUGAAUAACCCCAUGCCAAAACCGAGAGCCCCUUGAUCCCUCAAUCACCGAGCUAAUCUGAGAGCUUC